GUCUUUUGGGGUUUUGGGGGGCAGAGCUUUAUUGCAAAACCCUUUUUCCCCUUUUGCCUUUGCUGUCUACUCAAUUUAUACACACUCUAAUUAAUUUUAAAACGAAUGUAAUUGAUGUAACGCAUCUAAUACUAAGUUUCAACAACGGAUCUCUUGGCUCUCGCAUCGAUGAAGAACGCAGCGAAAUGCGAUAAGUAAUGUGAAUUGCAGAAUUCAGUGAAUCAUCGAAUCUUUGAACGCACCUUGCGCUCCUUGGUAUUCCUUGGAGCAUGCCUGUUUGAGUAUCAUGAAAUCUUCAAAGCAAACCUUUUGUUAAUUCAAUCGGUCUCUUGCUUUGGUAUUGGAGGUCUUUGCAGCUUCACACCUGCUCCUCUUUGUUCAUUAGCUGGAUCUCAGUGUUAUGCUUGGUUCCACUCGGCGUGAUAAGUUAUCUAUCGCUGAGGACACCGUAAAAAAGUGGCCAAGGUAAAUGCAGACGAACCGCUUCUAAUAGUCCAUUGACUUGGACAAUUAAAUUUUUAUGAUCUGAUCUCAAAUC
rnacentral:rRNA from 1 species